rnacentral:rRNA from 1 species
UAGGGAAUAUUGGUCAAUGGACGAGAGCCUGAACCAGCCAUGCCGCGUGUAGGAAGACGGCCUUGUGGGUUGUAAUCUACUUUUAUACAGGAACAAAUAGUCCAUGCGUGGAAAGUUGAGUGUACUGUAUGAAUAAGCACCGGCUAACUCCGUGCCAGCAGCCGCGGUAAUACGGAGGGUGCGAGCGUUGUCCGGAUUUAUUGGGUUUAAGGGGUGCGUAGGCGGUCAAUUAAGUCAGUGGUGAAAUCCUAUAGCUUAACUAUAGAACUGCCAUUGAUACUGGUUGACUUGAGUACAGACGAGGUAGGCGGAAUUUAUGGUGUAGCGGUGAAAUGCAUAGAUACCAUAAAGAACACCGAUAGCGAAGGCAGCUUGCUGGACUGUAACUGACGCUGAGGCACGAAAGCAUGGGUAGCGAACAGGAUUAGAUACCCUGGUAGUCCAUGCCGUAAACGAUGCUCACUCGAUGUAUGCGAUACACUGUAUGCGUCCAAGCGAAAGCGUUAAGUGAGCCACCUGGGGAGUACGCCGGCAACGGUGAAACUCAAAGGAAGUGGCGGGGGUCCGCACAAGCGGUGGAGCAUUUGGUUUAAUUAGAUGAUACGCGAGGAACCUAGUCUGGACUAGAAUGUGAGCUCAAUUCCCAGAGAUGGGAAGUUCUUCGGACGUGAAACAAGGUGCUGCAUGGCUGUCGUCAGCUAGUG